GACGAACGCUGGCGGCGUGCUUAACACAUGCAAGUCGAGCGGUAAAGCCUUUCGGGGUACACGAGCGGCGAACGGGUGAGUAACACGUGGGUGAUCUGCCCUGCACUUCGGGAUAAGCCUGGGAAACUGGGUCUAAUACCGGAUAUGACCUCCUAUCGCAUGGUGGGUGGUGGAAAGAUUUAUCGGUGCAGGAUGGGCCCGCGGCCUAUCAGCUUGUUGGUGGGGUAAUGGCCUACCAAGGCGACGACGGGUAGCCGACCUGAGAGGGUGACCGGCCACACUGGGACUGAGACACGGCCCAGACUCCUACGGGAGGCAGCAGUGGGGAAUAUUGCACAAUGGGCGAAAGCCUGAUGCAGCGACGCCGCGUGAGGGAUGACGGCCUUCGGGUUGUAAACCUCUUUCAGCAGGGACGAAGCGCAAGUGACGGUACCUGCAGAAGAAGCACCGGCUAACUACGUG
rnacentral:rRNA from 1 species